rnacentral:rRNA from 1 species
UACAGAGGGUGCGAGCGUUAAUCGGAAUUACUGGGCGUAAAGCGUGCGUAGACGGCUAUCUAAGUCGGGUGUGAAAGCCCCGGGCUCAACCUGGGAAUUGCAUUCGAGACUGAAUAGCUAGGGUGCGGUAGAGGGAAGCGGAAUUUCCGGUGUAGCGGUGAAAUGCGUAGAUAUCGGAAGGAACAUCAGUGGCGAAAGCGGCUUCCUGGACCAGCACCGGACGUCAGGCACGAAAGCGUGGGGAGCAAAGCAGG